AGGGGAGCCGUAGGGAAACCGAGUCUUAACCGGGCGUUAAGUUGCAGGGUAUAGACCCGAAACCCGGUGAUCUAGCCAUGGGCAGGUUGAAGGUUGGGUAACACUAACUGGAGGACCGAACCGACUAAUGUUGAAAAAUUAGCGGAUGACCUGUGGCUGGGGGUGAAAGGCCAAUCAAACCGGGAGAUAGCUGGUUCUCCCCGAAAGCUAUUUAGGUAGCGCCUCGUGAAUUCAUCUCCGGGGGUAGAGCACUGUUUCGGCUAGGGGGCCAUCCCGGCUUACCAACCCGAUGCAAACUGCGAAUACCGGAGAAUGUUAUCACGGGAGACACACGGCGGGUGCUAACGUCCGUCGUGAAGAGGGAAACAACCCAGACCGCCAGCUAAGGUCCCAAAGUCAUGGUUAAGUGGGAAACGAUGUGGGAAGGCCCAGACAGCCAGGAUGUUGGCUUAGAAGCAGCCAUCAUUUAAAGAAAGCGUAAUAGCUCACUGGUCGAGUCGGCCUGCGCGGAAGAUGUAACGGGGCUAAACCAUGCACCGAAGCUGCGGCAGCGAACGUAUCACCCAAGACAACUUUACGGAGUUGACGAUUGACGGAGCGAAGCGACGUCAAAGCGUUCAUUAAAGUCGAGUUGGCUUAGGGAUACGUUCGUUGGGUAGGGGAGCGUUCUGUAAGCCUGUGAAGGUGUGUCGUGAGGCAUGCUGGAGGUAUCAGAAGUGCGAAUGCUGACAUAAGUAACGAUAAAGCGGGUGAAAAGCCCGCUCGCCGGAAGACCAAGGGUUCCUGUCCAACGUUAAUCGGGGCAGGGUGAGUCGACCCCUAAGGCGAGGCCGAAAGGCGUAGUCGAUGGGAAACGGGUUAAUAUUCCCGUACUUGGUGUUACUGCGAAGGGGGGACGGAGAAGGCUAUGUUGGCCGGGCGACGGUUGUCCCGGUUUAAGCGUGUAGGUGUGUGUUCCAGGUAAAUCCGGUUCACUUUAACACUGAGGCGUGACGACGAGGCACUACGGUGCUGAAGCAACAAAUGCCCUGCUUCCAGGAAAAGCCUCUAAGCAUCAGGUAACACGAAAUCGUACCCCAAACCGACACAGGUGGUCAGGUAGAGAAUACCAAGGCGCUUGAGAGAACUCGGGUGAAGGAACUAGGCAAAAUGGUGCCGUAACUUCGGGAGAAGGCACGCUGACACGUAGGUGAAGUGAUUUACUCAUGGAGCUGAAGUCAGUCGAAGAUACCAGCUGGCUGCAACUGUUUAUUAAAAACACAGCACUGUGCAAACACGAAAGUGGACGUAUACGGUGUGACGCCUGCCCGGUGCCGGAA
rnacentral:rRNA from 1 species